rnacentral:rRNA from 1 species
UACGUAGGGACCAAGCGUUGUUCGGAUUUACUGGGCGUAAAGGGCUUGUAGGUGGCCAACUAAGUCAGACGUGAAAUCCCUCGGCUUAACCGGGGAACUGCGUCUGAUACUGGAUGGCUUGAGUUCGGGAGAGGGAUGCGGAAUUCCAGGUGUAGCGGUGAAAUGCGUAGAUAUCUGGAGGAACACCGGUGGCGAAGGCGGCAUCCUGGACCGAUACUGACGCUGAGGAGCGAAAGCUAGGGGAGCAAACGGGG